rnacentral:rRNA from 1 species
UAGGGAACCUUCCACAAUGGACGCAAGUCUGAUGGAGCAACGCCGCGUGAGUGAAGAAGGUUUUCGGACCGUAAAGCUCUGUUGUUGGUGAAGAAGGAUAGAGGUAGUAACUGGCCUUUAUUUGACGGUAAUCAACCAGAAAGUCACGGCUAACUACGUGCCAGCAGCCGCGGUAAUACGUAGGUGGCAAGCGUUGUCCGGAUUUAUUGGGCGUAAAGCGAGCGCAGGCGGAAGAAUAAGUCUGAUGUGAAAGCCCUCGGCUUAACCGAGGAAUUGCAUCGGAAACUGUUUUCUUGAGUGCAGAAGAGGAGAGUAGAACUCCAUGUGUAGCGGUGGAAUGCGUAGAUAUAUGGAAGAAUACCAGUGGCGAAGGCGGCUCUCUGGUCUGCAACUGACGCUGAGGCUCGAAAGCAUGGGUAGCGAACAGGAUUAGAUGCCCUGGUAGUCCAUGCCGUAAACGAUGAGUGCUAAGUGUUGGGAGGCUUCCGCCUCUCAGUGCUGCAGCUAACGCAUUAAGCACUCCGCCUGGGGGAGUACGACCGCAAGGUUGAAAC